rnacentral:rRNA from 1 species
AUUGAACGCUGGCGGCAGGCCUAACACAUGCAAGUCGAACGAGUGGCGGACGGGUGAGUAAUGUCUGGGAAACUGCCUGAUGGAGGGGGAUACCUACUGGAAACGGUAGCUAAUACCGCAUACCAUCAGAUGUGCCCAGAUGGGAUUAGCUUGUUGGUGGGGUAACGGCUCACCAAGGCGACGAUCCCUAGCUGGUCUGAGAGGAUGACCGGCCACACUGGAACUGAGACACGGUCCAGACUCCAACGCGAGGCAGCAGUGGGGAAUAGUGCGCAAUGGGCGCAUGCGUGAUACAUCCAUGCCGCGUGUAUGAAGAAGGCAUUCGGGUUGUAAAGUACUUUCAGCGGGGAGGGGGUAGCCGCAGAAGAAGCACCGGCUAACUACGUGCCAGCCGCCUCGGUAAUAC